UACUGGGUUAAGCCGUGACCGAAAUACAGUGGAAGAAUAGGGGCGCGUAUGUGUUAUAUCACAGUUGGUUACCUAAAUUAAUCUUCGUUAUUCAUGGAUUUUGUAUUGUAUAAAAAUUAGAAGAUCGUGCUGCCGCCUGCGAGGCGUCAAUACAGAGGAGAGAACUUAGUGUAAUUUGGAAAUCGCGUGGAUAUUAUCGUAUGAAAUAAAAGUAGGAUUUAAAAAUUGAGGUUGAUGAAAUAAAUUAAAGAUGGCACGAUUUAACGUUAAUGCAUUAUCAAUGCAGUUAGUAAAACAUGAUUCCGAAUGAGAGUUGAUGAUUCACCAUAAAUAUGUGCAGAAGCCAUAAGAUCUUUCUUCGAUGGAAUGCAGGUACUUCACCGAAGAAGGAAAGAAAGUUUAAUCCUGCGAAUCUCUGACUGAAAAUUAGAUAGAUCAUAAGCAAACUAUAUAUAUACUUAACACAAUGGAUGGCAUAAGAGCAGCAGAAGUUUUACCCCUACUUCAAGAACGUUUGGCUAUACUACCAGGUGGACGAGACCGUAGAGGAGGUCCAGUUAUUGUUUUUCCGACUACCCCAAGAAGAGAACGUGCUAAACCAGAAGACUAUCGUCGUUUAUUGCAAUACCUUUUAGCCGUUCCUGACGAUGAAACCAGAGAUCUAAGAUUUACUGUGAUAGUGGAUAUGCGUGGUGCUACUUGGGAUUCUGUGAAAACAAUUUUAAAGGUAUUACAUGAAUACUUUCAUCGAUCGGUAUAUGUUGCACUCAUCAUAAAGCCAGAGAAUUUUUGGCAGAAGCAAAGGACAUCAUUAGCUAAACAGAAAAAAUAUAAUUUUGAGAUCAAUACAAUUAGUUUAGAAGCUCUCACAAAAGUUAUAGAUCCCUCUCAACUGACAUCUGAUUUGGAUGGCUCGUUAGAGUAUGAUCAUAGUCAGUGGAUCGAAACAAGACUAGCUGUAGAAGAUUUUACCUGGCAAGCUGCUGAUCUUUUAGAUAGGUUGGAUGAUUUACAAGAAGAUCUUAGUCGUAAUGAUUUUGCUGAUGACGUUGGAGGUGCUAAACAUGGUAUUGACCUUCAUAAUGAAAUGAAAAAGAAAAUUUUGAAAAUUCCUGUUGAAGAAAUAGAAGUUGUUGCUCAACGUUUACUUCAAAAAUUCGACAGCAUGUCGACGUCAGGUGGAGAGGGAGGAAGUAUCGAAAGUGGCGCAGUAGGUGGAACAGAUUCAGAUGGUCAGGCAUUAGCGACAUUAGUUAUACAGCAUUUAGAAUCUGUUCAUGCAUCGCAACGGCAUCUCUUGCAAUUGUGGCAUAUUAAAAAAAAGAAAUUAGAUCAAUGCUUUCAGUUGCGCUUAUUUGAACAAGAUUGUGAAAAAAUGUUUGACUGGAUUUGUCAUAAUAGAGAAGGAUUUCUUGCUAAUUAUGUGGAGAUUGGACGUUCUUAUCAACUUGCUAAGAACUUUCAAGAGGAACAUAAACAUUUUACCAUGAGUUCAAUGAAUGUUUAUGUGAAUAUUAAUAAAACUCUUACAAUGGCUGCUAGAUUAUUAGAGACACAACAUUACGCAGCGGGUCACGUACGAGCUGUUGCGAGUCGAUUGGACAGAGCAUGGAAGGAAUUUGCUGCUGGUCUCGAUGAACGUACUGCUGUUCUUGGCCUAAGUGUAGUAUUCCAUCACAAAGCAGAACAAUACGUAGAUAGUGUUGCUGGUUGGAGUCAAGCUUGCGAUGCCAGCAAUCUGCCUAAUGAAAUUCCUGUUCUUGAAUCUCAUUUAAGACAGCAUCAAACUCUUUACGAAGCAAUGUGUCAAGCAUAUACAGAGGUGCAUAGUACCAGUAAGAAGCUUCUUUAUCAACUGGAUCAUCUUGUGCAAGUCUGUAACCAACCACAGGGAAUAGACCACACCAUCCGCAAACAUAGCCAAGACGGACAUAAUGCAGAAAGUCAUGGUGGCAUGAGUGGAAAUCCAGCCGCAGAUUAUAGUGAAGGUGCAUCCCAUGUGUUAGCAGUUAUUCAUCAAAUUUUAGGUCAUCAUAGAACAUUGGAAGCUCGUUGGCAUGCACGCAAAGUUAAAUUACAUCAACGUCUUGCUUUGAGAUUAUUUCAAGAAGAUGUAAAACAAGUUCUCGAUUGGCUAACUAAUCACGGAGAAGUUUUUAUUCGAAAAAAUACAGGUGUUGGACGAAAUCUUCAAAAAGCAAGAGUAUAUCAAAAAAGUCAUGAACAUUUUGAGAACGUUGCUCAGAAUACUUAUACGAAUGCAACAAAGUUGCUUACUGCGGCAGAGGAAUUAGCUCAUACAGGAGAAUGUGCUGCCGAUGAAAUAUAUGCUGUAGCACAAGAAUUGGAAUCUCAUGUUAGUAGAUUUGCAGCGAGAGUCGAACAACGGCGUCGCAGAUUAGAUCUGGCUGUAGUAUUUUAUACUCAUGAAAAAGAGCUAAGUGGUUGGGUGGACGAGUUGCGGCAAGAAUUGCAGCAAGAGGAAGUUGCAGAGAAUUUGGAAACAGCAGAAAGACUACUUGAUCAGUGUGCACAACACAGAGCGUCGUGUCUUGAAGCUUGUGCCUCGACCAUUGCACAAGGUGAAGCAUUACUUCAAGAACUACGAGAAUCUACAGAUGCACCCGAUUCUACGGGCUCUGUAACUGCUGUAGAAAGUGCUCUUGAUAGAUUGGCUGGUUUACGGCAAGAAUUAGAAGAAUUAUGGGCAACAAGAAAAUUAAGGUUAGAGUUGUGUUUGCGAUUGCGUGUUUUCGAGAGAGAUGCGUUAGAAGCCAGUGGACAACUUGAAAUGUGGGCACAAGACUUACAAGGUACUCCUCGUGAAGGUUCACCCGAACAGCUGUUACGUGUACAUAAUGACGGUGUAGCUCAUAUGCAAAAUACUACGUUUCAAGUGUUACAACAAGGCCAAGAACUUGCACAGGUUCUAGAACAAGCCGGAGUUUGUAUUAUGGCAGAUGGUCAGCAUAGUGCUACAGCAAGAGUUCAAGUGCUUCUUGAAUUUUUAAAUGAAAGAGAAAUGGAUGCAGAAGAUCUUGCGGAAAUGCGGAGAGUUCGAUUGGAACAAGCCGCACAAUUGGUGCAAUUGCAAACAGAUGCCACGCAUGUAGCUAAUUGGAUUAGAAACGGAGAAGCUAUGCUUUUAGCUUCCUUAAGGGUUCCAGAAAAUUUACAAGAUGCUGAACAACUACGGUUAGAACAUGAGCAAUUUCAAGUAGCUAUAGAAAAAACGCAUACUUCUGCUGUACAGGUGAAACAUAGAGCUGAUGCAUUAGUAAGCGCGAAUCAUUAUGACCCCAAAAGUAUUCGAGAAGUAGCUGAAGAUGUCACAAAAAGGUGGCAACAGUUGGUAACUUGUGCAGAAGAAAGGCAUAAAUUAGUAACCGCGAGUAUUAAUUUUUAUAAAACAGCGGAACAAGUUCGAUCGGUACUGGAUAGUUUAGAACGUGAAUAUAAAAGGGACGAAGAUUGGUGUUUUGGUGGAGAGAAAGGCGGCCAAGUACCUAAUCUUGUGUCUAAACAUCAGGAACAAAAAGAAGCGUUUUUAAAAGCAUGCACCUUGGUGCGAAGAACGGCCGAGACAUUCCUAAAAUACACUAAUCGCAGUCUACAAUUUUAUAAUUAUCAAGCUAAUAGCGUUGGGUCCGAGAACAAAGUUAAAAAUAUCUUAGAAGAAUUGUUAAGUAAAGAAAAUAAAGUACUGGAAUAUUGGACUCAACGAAAAAAACGCUUAGACCAGUGUCAUCAAUACGUUCUUUUUGAGCGUAGUGCAAAACAAGCAAUCGAAUGGAUAAGGGAAACUGGUGAAUUGUAUCUUGCAACACACACGAACGUGGGAAAAAAUCGUAUCGAAAACGAGCAAUUGUUACAAGAACAUAACGAAUUUAAAGGUGCAGCAAAGGAAACCAGGGAAAGAGUAAAAUUGCUGAUUCAGUUAGCAGACAAUUUAGUUGAAAAAGGACAUGCUCAUGCUGCUGUUAUUAAACAGUCUGUGGCGGAGGUAGAUCAGCGUUAUAAAGAUUUUAGCAUGCGAAUGAAUUACUAUAAGACGCAAAUUGAAGAUGAUUUGGGUAUACAAUCAGACGACGGCCAUAAAGAUUUAGCUAUAGACCGUAAUUCCGAUCCUUUAUUGGAGGAGAAAAUUAAAGGAAAAGAUUUAAAAGAAUUGAAUGAAGAGAAACGGCGAUCAGCUAGGCGAAAAGAGUUCAUUAUGGCCGAAUUAUUGCAAACCGAACGUACAUACGUUAAAGAUUUAGAAACUUGUAUUCGUUGUUUCUUAGAGGAAACGCGUAAUGGAAAAGGAAACGUACCAACAGGAUUGCAAGGUCGAGAAUCCAUCAUUUUUAGCAAUAUGGAAGAAAUACAUCAAUUUCAUUGUAAUAUAUUCCUUCGUGAAUUGGAAAAAUACGAAACCAUGCCCGAAGACGUUGGGCAUUGUUUUGUUACUUGGGCUCCAAAAUUUGAUAUGUACGUGACUUACUGUAAAAAUAAGCCAGAAAGUAAUCAAUUACUAGUUACGCAUGGUGGUACGUGGUUUGAAGAAUUACAAAGGAAACAAAAAGUUGAACAUCCAAUAGCCGCAUACCUCAUUAAACCAGUGCAAAGGAUCACAAAGUAUCAGCUUUUGCUUAAGGAUCUUCAAGCUUGCUGUCAGGAGGGACAAGGUGAAAUUAAAGAUGGAUUGGAAGUGAUGUUGAAUGUGCCUAAAAAAGCAAACGAUGCCUUACAUUUAAGCCUAUUGGAGGGUUGUGAUGUCAGGAUAGAUACUCUUGGAGAUGUAGUAUUACAAGAUUCAUUUACGGUAUGGGAUCCAAAGCAGCUGAUAAGAAAAGGCAGAGAUCGUCAUAUAUUUCUUUUCGAAUUAUACUUAUUAUUUAGUAAAGAAGUAAAAGAUUCAGCUGGAAAGGUAAAAUACAUUUACAAAAGUCGCUUGAUGACUUCCGAAUUGGGCGUCACUGAGCACAUUGAAGGAGACGAAUGUAAGUUUGCAGUAUGGACUGGAAGAGCACCUACCGGCGACACCCGUGUGGUUUUAAGAGCAAAUUCGAUGGAGGCGAAGCAAUUGUGGGUCAAGAGAUUGCGUGAAGUAAUUCAAGAAACGUACUUCAGCUUGAGUAUGCCGAAGAGUCCUGCCAAGAAGAGUUCGAGCCAACGAUCGAGUAGAGACCUGGAGGAAUGUGCAUCCUUGAACGAUAGUGUAGAAAAUUUGGACAGGAAUUCAUUGGCUUCAUUUGGUUCGACGAAUACAACGGAUUCGGACAAGACUGGCGUAACCGAAAUGACUUGGGUGGUUGCGGAUCAUCUAGCAGCACCAGGAUCUAGAGAACUGACGGUGACGAAGGGUCAACAAGUUGAAGUCUUAGAAAAUUGUAGCGGUAAUGGAAACGUCAGUGGCAUCGUUGCUACCGGUGAAUGGACAUUGGUACGUUUACCACUCGCUCCAGGACAAACAGAUCCACCAACAGAAGGGCUUGUACCUACGAGCGCUUUGAAACAACCACCAAGCAAUUCCUGUAAGACCUCACCAUCAAGAAAACCACCCAAUCAACAACAAACAUUGCUUCAGCAGCAGCAGCAGCAACUCAAUCAAUCUGUGAUCGGACAACAACAACUUGCGGCUAUAGUAACUGGUUCUACUGCAUCAUCAUCUCCAGUUUCGAAUUUAACACCGUCGAGCGAAGAAUCGGAAAUCAUCGGGAGCGAUGGUAGCGGCUCCGCUAGUACAAGUUCACCUGGAAACAAAAGACGCGGUUUUAGCGGGAGAAAGUGGCUACCACCUCCGCUGCGUAAGCUCAGCCAAGGCAAGGUCGAUAAGGUCGUUUCAACGGCGUCGUCGACUGCGUCAACGGCUGCUGCUGCUGCCACAGUUAACAGUGGUGGCAUUCCGCUAACGGCGACGUCUUUAACAACGGUGACGACAGCAACCACCACCACGACAACCGCUAUUUCUUCUAUUUCCGCUGCUACACCAGGAACUGUUACGCCAAUAGCACCUACGACGACUUUGGUUAAACAAACGACAACGGUGGUGGCAACGGUGACGCCAAGCGGUAAAAACAUUGGAUCCUUGAAAAAGAGCAGCUCUGACAAACGUUUCAAGCUACCAUCAGGAGCUGCUGAACAAAAACGUGCCGUUGCUGUUUCUGCUGGAAACAUCAGAAUCAGUUCCGAACUUGAAACUUUAACGGGAUCCGAAGAGGCUGAAAGAGAGGAAGAGGAGGAAGAGGAAGAAGAGGAGGAACACGGUGAAACUUCUGAAACGAUAUCUACAACUUACGACGACGGUGAAGGUAACGUCUUUCAUGAACAAAAUGGCACUGAGGAUGGAGAAGAUGACUUGGAAUUACCGCCUCCAAUGAAACCGAUUACCGAGCCGAUUUUAGUCGCUGCCGCAAAUGGUCCUCCUGGUUCAGCGAUACCCGACGAAUUACCUGGGAAAAGAGCAUCUGAAUGUUCUAGCAAAAUACUUGAUGGAGCCACCACGGCAGAUUUAGCAGAAAUCGAACAGAUCGUAAAGGAAAGGAUGGAACAACAUACCGAAAAUCAAGAAAGGCAUAGUCUGAUGCGAACGGAAAGAACAACAGCAGGCGAUAGAGGUUCAAGUGAUGGCGAAAAUAAUUAUGCUCGUGCCAUCAGUCCAUCUCUCGUUACUGAAGAAUGCGAUCCCGAAACUGCGGCUCUAACCAAAAGACAAUUUGUCAUUCGCGAAUUGGUUGAAACGGAAAGAGAUUAUGUCAACGAUCUUAAACAAAUUGUCGAAGGAUACAUGACGCUGAUGCGAGAUCCAGAGAGCGACAUUCCACUUCCUGAGGAUCUUCGAGGAGGAAAAGACAAAAUGGUAUUCGGUAACAUAGAAGCGAUCUAUGAAUGGCACAGAGACUUUUUUUUGAAAGCUUUGGAGAACUGCAUAAAAUGCCCGGAAGAACUCGGUCCUCUUUUUAAAAGAUAUGAAAGGAAAUUACACAUGUACGUUGUUUAUUGUCAAAAUAAACCCGUUUCUGAGUACAUCGUGUCCGAAUAUAUAUACACUUACUUCGAGGAACUGAGGCAGAAACUUAAACAUCGUCUGCAACUUUGCGAUUUGUUAAUAAAACCGGUGCAAAGGAUUACAAAGUAUCAAUUACUUCUUCGCGAGGCAUUACGUUUGACCGAACGUACUCAAAGAUUAUCGGAGAUCGAAGGACUUAGAGCAGCGGUUCAUGUUAUGCGAGUUAUUCCAAAAGCGGCUAACGACAUGAUGGAUGUGGGAAGGUUACAAGGUUUUGAUGGUAAAAUAACAGCACAAGGUAAACUUCUGCUACACGGGCCUUUGUUAGUGUCAGAAAUUUCGAGCGUACCAACGAGAGGAAAAGAGUGGCACGUAUUUCUUUUCGAGCAAAAUAUUAUCUUCAGCGAAGCCGUUGGUAAGAAGACUCAAUUCACCAGCCCAGCCUACAUAUAUAAAGCUCAUAUACAGGUAAACAAAAUGAGUCUCGAGGAUUCGUACGACGAUCCGGACAAAUUUGUGAUUCGAUCUACGGAUCCUCGAAAGCCCGGUCUAGGAUUUUAUUGCAGCGUAGUUGAAGAAAAUGGACCUCGCAGACAGGAAUGGGUAGAUACGAUCACUGCUAUCCUACAAACACAACGUGACUUUCUCAAGGCGUUACAGUCACCGAUUGCCUACCAAAAGGAACUUACCAAAGAUCCACUCCGAGUUCCAACAACGGAGCCAGUGGUUCGAGAGACCAUAUCAGUAGCCCCGACGCUUUCGACAGUAUCCCCCGGAACGAUGCACAAAGAAAAGAGUUUCCCUCCUCAGCAGAAGAUAACUCGACCGAUUCAAAGGACUCAAUACGGUGGUUUAGAUUGCGAAUUACCACGGACGCCGAGUCCGACGAAGAGUAGGCUUAACUUCCUCGAUGGAUUCAGGAAUACUCUACGCGCUCGAUCCCCAGUUCGUACCAAUUCGAUACCGCAAAGGGGCUCUUCUCCUUCUUGAUGUCUGUCGCUAACUGCUAUGUACUGCAUUACCUUCUGUCGUCGAAUCCACAAAUCCUCGAUCUUUUAUUGUUAGAGAAAUAAACCGAGCGAGGCAUUAUCAGAAAAAGCGUCGUUCCGGGUGCACGAGUAAGAUUGGCAGCCGACUGGGGUAAACUACGUGCCGGUGACGAACUCGUCGUUUCUCGUUUGGACGGCC
rnacentral:misc_RNA from 1 species